rnacentral:rRNA from 1 species
UGCAGUCGAGCGCAGUCCUUCGGGACCGAGCGGCGGACGGGUUAGUAACGCGUGGGAAUAUACCCAGAUCUAAGGAAUAGCCUCGGGAAACUGAGAGUAAUACCUUAUACGCCCUUCGGGGGAAAGAUUUAUCGGAUUUGGAUUAGCCCGCGUUAGAUUAGAUAGUUGGUGGGGUAAUGGCCUACCAAGUCUACGAUCUAUAGCUGGUUUUAGAGGAUGAUCAGCAACACUGGGACUGAGACACGGCCCAGACUCCUACGGGAGGCAGCAGUGGGGAAUCUUGGACAAUGGGCGCAAGCCUGAUCCAGCCAUGCCGCGUGAGUGAUGAAGGCCUUAGGGUCGUAAAGCUCUUUCGCCAGAGAUGAUAAUGACAGUAUCUGGUAAAGAAACCCCGGCUAACUCCGUGCCAGCAGCCGCGGUAAUACGGAGGGGGUUAGCGUUGUUCGGAAUUACUGGGCGUAAAGCGCACGUAGGCGGAUCAGAAAGUAUAGGGUGAAAUCCCAGGGCUCAACCCUGGAACUGCCUUGUAAACUCCUGGUCUUGAGUUCGAGAGAGGUGAGUGGAAUUCCGAGUGUAGAGGUGAAAUUCGUAGAUAUUCGGAGGAACACCAGUGGCGAAGGCGGCUC